ACGCACGCUGGCGGCGUGCUUAACACAUGCAAGUCGAACGGAAAGGCCCUGCUUGCAGGGUACUCGAGUGGCGAACGGGUGAGUAACACGUGGGUGAUCUGCCCUGCACUUCGGGAUAAGCCUGGGAAACUGGGUCUAAUACCGGAUAGGAGCCAUUUUUAGUGUGAUGGUUGGAAAGUUUUUUCGGUGUAGGAUGAGCUCGCGGCCUAUCAGCUUGUUGGUGGGGUAAUGGCCUACCAAGGCGGCGACGGGUAGCCGGCCUGAGAGGGUGGACGGCCACAUGGGGCCGGGGAGAGGGCCCGGCCCCCUAGGGGAGGAGGGAGGGGGGAAGUUUGACAAAGGGGCGAAAGCCGGAUGCGGCGAGGCCGGGGGGGGGAGGACGGCCUGGGGGUUGAAACCUCUUUUCGUUAGGAACAAAGCUUUUUGUGAGGGUACCUAAAAAAAAAGCCCCGGCUAACUACGGG
rnacentral:rRNA from 1 species